CCUACGGGUGGCAGCAGUGGGGAAUAUUGGGCAAUGGACGCAAGUCUGACCCAGCAACGCCGCGUGAAGGAAGAAGGCUUUCGGGUUGUAAGCUUCUUUAAAGGGGGAAGAGAAGAAGACGUUACCCCUUGAAUAAGCCACGGCUAACUACGUGCCAGCAGCCGCGGUAAUACGUAGGUGGCAAGCGUUGUCCGGAUUUACUGGGGGUAAAGGGCGUGUAGCCGGAGAGGAAAGUCAGAUGUGAAAGCCACGGGCUCAACCCGUGACCGGCAUUUGAAACUGUUUACCUUGAGGGUGGUAGAGGUAAUGGGAAUUCCUUGUGUAGCGGUGAAAUGCGUAGAUAUAAGGAAGAACAUCAGUGGCGAAGGCGGAUUACUGGACGGUAACUGACGGUGAGGAGCGAAAGCGUGGGGAGCAAACAGGAUUAGAUACCCUUGUAGUC
rnacentral:rRNA from 1 species